GUAACACCGGUGGCUCGAGUGGUAACCGCUGUUAUUGGGUCUAAAGGGUCUGUAGCCGGCCGGCUAAGUCUCUUGGGAAAUCUGGCAUCUCAAGUGUCAGGCUGCCAGGGGAUACUGGUCAGCUUGGGACCGGGAGAGGUGAGAGGUACCUCAGGGGUAGGGGUGAAAUCUUGUAAUCCUUGAGGGACCACCAGUGGCGAAGGCGUCUCACCAGAACGGAUCCGACGGCAAGGGACGAAAGCUAGGGGCACGAACCGGAUUAGAUACCCGGGUAGUCCUAGCCGUAAACGAUACUCGCUAGGUGUCGGCCACGGUGCGACCGUGGUCGGUGCCGUAGGGAAGCCGUGAAGCGAGCCACCUGGGAAGUACGGCCG
rnacentral:rRNA from 1 species